rnacentral:rRNA from 1 species
AUUGAACGCUGGCGGCAUGCCUUACACAUGCAAGUCGAACGGUAACGGGUCCUUCGGGAUGCCGACGAGAGGCGAACGGGUGAGUAAUAUAUCGGAACGUGCCCAGUAGUGGGGGAUAACUGCUCGAAAGAGCAGCUAAUACCGCAUACGACCUGAGGGUGAAAGGGGGGGAUCGCAAGACCUCUCGCUAUUGGAGCGGCCGAUAUCAGAUUAGCUAGUUGGUGGGGUAAAGGCCUACCAAGGCAACGAUCUGUAGUUGGUCUGAGAGGACGACCAGCCACACUGGGACUGAGACACGGCCCAGACUCCUACGGGAGGCAGCAGUGGGGAAUUUUGGACAAUGGGCGCAAGCCUGAUCCAGCAAUGCCGCGUGCAGGAAGAAGGCCUUCGGGUUGUAAACUGCUUUUGUCAGGGAAGAAAUCUUCUGGGCUAAUACCCCGGGAGGAUGACGGUACCUGAAGAAUAAGCACCGGCUAACUACGUGCCAGCAGCCGCCGUAAAAC